GAGCAGGAGCAGAAGAUAAGCCUUGGAUGAAGGGCAAGAUGGAUAGGGCUCGCUCUGCCCCAAGCCCUGCUGAUACCAAGUGCCUUUAAGAUACAGCCUUUCCCAUCCUAAUCUGCAAAGGAAACAGGAAAAAGGAACUUAACCCUCCCUGUGCUCAGACAGAAAUGAGACUGUUACCGCCUGCUUCUGUGGUGUUUCUCCUUGCCGCCAACUUGUAAACAAGAGCGAGUGGACCAUGCGAGCGGGAAGUCGCAAAGUUGUGAGUUGUUGAAAGCUUCCCAGGGACUCAUGCUCAUCUGUGGACGCUGGAUGGGGAGAUCUGGGGAAGUAUGGACUCUUUAGCCGGCUUAGUUCUCUGUGGAGUCAGCUUGCUCCUUUAUGGUAAGUUUUGGCUUGAUGUUUAUUUGUGUGUGUGUGUCAUGUUUUAACAACAGUGACUUCUCGCCAUUCUCUCUCUCACCAAACCUUCGAUUUGGUGACCCUGACACUGCUUUUCUGAGACUCUCCAGUUUACACAUGGCAACGGUUUUGAAGUUCAGAUUCCAGCGGCACCAGCUGGGUUUUCUAGCCAUCUCUUGUAGACAGAUGCUGCCUCCUGGGUUGCACGGUCUCUCCCAGGACUGAGUAAGUCACCUUAUUUGAAGGGAUCUGGUUUUUUUUUUUGUUUGUUUGUUUUUUGUUUUUUGUUUUGUUUUGUUUUUUUUUUUGGAGUAUUCUUUCUUGCCUCUCAUUCUGGUGUUUUCUUAUCCAUAACAACAAAUUUGGGUUGUAAUCACUUUAAAGAAAGACUUCAAUGAUUUUUUUUUUUUUUUUUGGUAGAAACAAAAUUCUUACCUAGCCAUGUACAAAAACGUCAUUGUUAACUAAAAACAAGACCACUUUUCUGUAAAGAUUGUGUAUCUCCAUGCUUUUUAAUUUCAGUAGUCCAGUUAAGGGCUUUUCGUCUUUUAGGUAGGGGUCCAGGAGUUAGGGCUAUGCCACUGACUUUAAUUUUUUGAUGUUUCACAUAAAGAUUAGCCCUAGCAAGCUAACUAAAAUGUAGUCAAUUACCAAGCUCACCGGAUUCAGUAUUUUGCCAAGUCCUGUAGUGGCACCUCUAGAGAGGGCAGCCAGGAUGAGCUUGGGUUCUGUAUGUGUAUCACAGGCUCUACACAGUGGGGUGCCUUGUAACUCACUCAGCAUAGGUAAACCAUGCUAGGAGAAACAUGGGGACCCAAACUGCAGAUCACAGACACAUUAUCAUUGCCAUAGGAUUCCCCGAAUUGGUUUGGAAGUAUUCUAAUUAUUAUGAUAAAAAUGUAAUUGACACAGGAGAUGAAUUUGGGAAAAUUUAUCAAACUUAAUGGUGAGGCUAUAUAUAGUAUAGCAUUUGAUACAAAGAAAUACUUUUGAUGUUACUUUUAUAUUUUUCUAUAUGUUUAAAUAUUUUGUUAAGUAUUCAAAAAAAUUUAACCCAGUAAAGUAUGAUAAUUGUGUGCAAUUUCUCAUGUAACUUUUCAAUUUGAUUUCAACAACCAACAUAUCAGAAAUUUAAUAAUAUUUAAGAGUAAUGUAAAUUGCUGAAAGAGUAUCUAAGAUGGUGCCAAUUACUUAUGUAGUAACUUACUUAUAAUUAACAUAACAGCAUAAUAUAUUGCUGUAAAUUUGGAUUCGUCUUUAUAUUAAUGUAGAGACAGGUUGAUGUCUUUGUUACUAUGUACUUUUAAAUAAUAAUUAUGGUUCCUCACUUUCAUCUUGCUUUCCACAAGUCACACUGAUCAGCGUUAUAGAAUAUGGGACUGAUUUUACACCAGAGACUAUAAUAAUACAAAGUCCAAGUAUCUAGUUCUGCUCUGACUUAGUUUUAAGUUAAAUAAACUAAUAGUAUGUUCACAUACGUAUGUGCACGCACACAUACACAGAACUAUUUUAACUUAGUCUUUCUCCUUAAGUGACUUUUUUAUGGCAUUUUACAAAUAAGUUUAGAAAAGUUGUCAUGAAUUCAUACAAAAAAGUUCUGUUCCAAAACAGUUGUCUCACUGAUGCUAGAAACUGAUUUCUGGAGCGAAGAUGACAAGAAGGAGGAGGUCAUGUUCUUGUCAGAAAGUAGAACACAGAAAGCUUGGUUUCUGCUGAAGGUCUCUGUUAAUUCCUGACUUUCAUUCUGUACCCAAGCUUCCAUGAACUUGAGUGAGGCUUGGUGAUCACACAAACAGCCUCAGGAGUUCUUCCUUCAAGUCAGACUCUAAUAGUGUACUUCAUUAAUGUGGAAGGGGAUAUAGAGCUUAUAUGUCUAGUCUACUUGGUGGCCUGAUAUUCCUUUUUUGUUGAACAAACAUAAUGGAAGAAUAAAGACUCUGUAUUUGCCUCAAUAAAGGUUGCUCUGGGUAGCAAAGCAGCCUGCUAAGGCAUAAACUGGAAGAGGUUUGUGGCUUCCAUAACAACUCAGAUUCUGGCGCUUGCUCCUUCCACUGGAGUAUUAUUGCCAAUUUCAGCUUGCAAACAAGUUCUCAUAGAACUUAGCAGUGUUACCCCCUCUUUAAUUCCAUAUCUACACCAAACCUGGCUGCAGGCUCUAAAGAAUUGUGUACACUU
rnacentral:lncRNA from 1 species